rnacentral:rRNA from 1 species
UACGGGGGGGGCAAGCGUUGUUCGGAAUUACUGGGCGUAAAGGGCUCGUAGGCGGCCAACUAAGUCGGAUGUGAAAUCCCCAGGCUUAACCUGGGAACUGCAUCCGAUACUGGAUGGCUUGAGAUUGGGAGAGGGACGCGGAAUUCCAGGUGUAGCGGUGAAAUGCGUAGAUAUCUGGAGGAACACCGGUGGCGAAGGCGGCGUCCUGGACCAACACUGACACUGAGGAGCGAAAGCCAGGGGAGCAAACGGG